rnacentral:miRNA from 1 species
CGAUUGAUGAUAGCAUCUCCA